rnacentral:lncRNA from 1 species
CCGGUUUGGAGAGUGGACGAGAAGAGGAGUGGAGGAGAGGAAGCAAGAGGGCUCUUUUUGGACUGAGAUACCGUGAGGACAAGAGAUCUUCACUUCCCUGAGAGGCACAGCUGAGAACUUCUGGUGUUCCCGUUGGACCCUCCUGCUGACUCAAGCAGAGGAUAAGGCUCGGCUGUCUUUGCUAGGUUGUGUCACCACUGUUGCUAACCAGACUCUACUGAACUGCUGGUGUAUCAAUGAGGUGUUUGUGAGUGGAUCAAGCUGCUGCUACCUGCUAACCUGUGAAGUGAACUGCCGAUAUCUAAACAACACAGCAGGAGUUGCUUCACAGAAUCCUUCUAAAUAGGUCCAUUUCCCCCAUCUCGUUCCUGUUCCACUACCUCUGGUGGGUGGUGAGUUACAAUAAAGGUUAAAGCAUUUAAGAACCAUCAUUAGAGCUGGGAGGUGGUGGCACAUGCAUUUAAUCCCAGCACUUGGGAGACAGAGGCAGUCGGAUUUCUGAGUUCUAGGCUAGCCUGGUCUACAAAGUGAGUUCCAGGACAGCGAGGGCUACACAGAGAAACCUUGUCUCGAAAAACCGAAAAAAGAAAAGAAAAAAGAACAAUCAUUAAAAAUAAGAUUUGAAAAAAUUAAAGUUACAACUAUAUAAUUAGUAAUUAAAAUUAAACUACUUGGGGGCUUAGGGGGUGGGUGAUAAUGUUCCCCCAAGAGCUAUAGAAUAUCUAAUAAAACCUCCAGUACCAGGUAUGGGAAACUGCCUUCAAGCUGUUGGUCAGGAGAGUCCAAGAGACUCCCAAAACAAUACAGACUAUUGUCAACUGCCCUUGGCUGCCUUCCAGAAGAUGAAGGGAAGAUCCUGUUGCUGAAGACACCGUACACUUGAGACACACGACUGGAGAAAUCCAGCUGGAUAGGACCUGGAAACCUCCUCCCUGAAAACCACUUCUCACAGUAUCAGAAGGUGUUGCAAACUGCCAAAGGAGAAAAGCAGUCAUCCUACCCAGAUGUAAGACCUUCGAACCACAAUGACCACAUGGCAUGAUUUCCCCGAGGGUGCAAUAGUGGCACUCAUAUCUUGAGAGUAAACAACAGCCACUUCACUGGGCUUAAAAUUUUUCAACAAGAAGGAAUUCAUGCCUGAAACUAUAAACCUAAGCACCCACCUAUAGCUGGCUAAGUCAUGAAACUUACUACUGCCACUUCCCCAAAGGACUAUAAUCUCUAACUGCAUCCUUAAUACGUAUCUUUAUGCCCUUACGGGUGAGUGUGAUUCUCAUUGCUCAUCAAAGAAGCUUCUUUUUACAGCAGAUAGAGGCCAAUAUAGAAAGCCAGAAAUCAGGGUUAAAAAUGCAGAGAGCAACUGACCAUCAAGUACUCAGCCCCAGCUGAUACAUCACAACACAAUCCCUACACCUAAGGCUCAAAGAACAUCACAGAAGAGGAAGCUGAAAUGCUCUAAGAGCCAGAGAAUCAUAACUUCUGCUACAAGACAGCACCUCCUAUAUAUGGCAUGGAAGCGUCAGUAAUACAAUCUCAACAACAAAGGUUCCUAACCCUGAAUAAUCUGAACAAUGACACUCAUAGGUGAUAUGCCAACAUGGAAGAGAUCUCACCCCUAGGUAAUGAACGACUGCUGAUAGAGGGAGAGAGAAAUUCAGUCUUCCUCAGGACUCUAAUUGGUGGUCAGCCCUAAAAACAUAUCCAUGCAAGCACACUAAAAGGAUUCAGCAUGUGGUAUUUGUAUAUGUAUCCAUAAAUAAAUAUAUGUAUGUAUAUAUAUGUAUAUUUGCAGAAAUAAUGAUUAAAGAAAAGCCAUGAGAACAUGAGGGUGUUUGGAGGGAGGAAAAGGAAUGGGGGAAAUGAUGUAAGAGGUAAAAAAUAAACAUUAACAUGGACAUAUAUUCAAAUAUGCAUAUAAUGUUUAUAGCAUAAAUUUCUAAAAUAUAUACAUUGAUCAAUCAUAAAGUAAAUUAAAUGGAAUAAAGAGCAUUUUAAUCCCUU